UCGCAAACCCACUAUGUUGAUUUUCUCAUGGCACGGCUCAAUUUUAGCACUGAUGGUACAGCUGUGAACUCAGAGCUGGUUCAGAUAUCGUCCGUGCAUGGUGCUUCGUGAUUUUCGGUGGCCUCCGAUUGCAAUAACUAACGAUGAAGUUGCUGCUAUUGCUCAGCGUUGUGAUGUUAGCGGUCGUGAAUGCCCAACCACUCUAUCGCUACUUUGGUCCACCACGUCUGUAUCCGAUAGGAGGGUAUCCGGGCUAUAUGGGUCGGUGGGUUGGUAGGUAUGGUGGAGCAGGAGCAGGAGUGCUAUUUGCAGACGGACAUGGACCCCCGGGAACUAGAGAGUACCACGCAUCACACGGACACUUCCAUCCACAUUAAACGGAUUGAUAUACAGUACAAACUGCGGUGAUGUCAAGUCCGAGUCUAGCCAACCACUCCUAGCAUUGUGUGUUUAUUGUGUGUUUGUGCUUUUUUGCUCUGAAUAAAACUGUGAUAUGUGGAA